GACGAACGCUGGCGGCGCGCUUAACACAUGCAAGUCGAGCGAUGAAACUUUAACAGAACCCUUCGGGGCGAAGAUAAAGUGGAUUAGCGGCGGACGGGUGAGUAACACGUGAGUAACCUGCCUUAGACAUUGGGAUAGCCUCGGGAAACCGGGAUUAAUACCAAAUAAAAUCAUAAUGACACAUGUCAUAACGAUCAAAACUCCGGUGGUCUAAGAUGGACUCGCGUCCCAUUAGCUAGUUGGUAGGGUAAAAGCCUACCAAGGCGACGAUGGGUAGCCGGCCUGAGAGGGUGAACGGCCACAUUGGAACUGAGAAACGGUCCAAACUCCUACGGGAGGCAGCAGUGGGGAAUAUUGCACAAUGGAGGGAACUCUGAUGCAGCGACGCCGCGUGAACGAAGAAGGCUUUCGAGUCGUAAAGUUCUUUUAUAUGGGAAGAUAAUGACGGUACCAUAAGAAAAAGCCCCGGCUAACUACGUG
rnacentral:rRNA from 1 species